GCGAGGUGACGAUAGAAAUUCAUGUCUGUCAAUCCACUGAACUACGGUGUGAUGUUACUCUGAAUCCCGACAGGUUCCGAUCGC